GACGAACGCUGGCGGCGUGCUUAACACAUGCAAGUCGAACGGAAAGGCCCUGCUUUUGUGGGGUGCUCGAGUGGCGAACGGGUGAGUAACACGUGAGUAACCUGCCCUUGACUUUGGGAUAACUUCAGGAAACUGGGGCUAAUACCGGAUAGGAGCUCCUGCUGCAUGGUGGGGGUUGGAAAGUUUCGGCGGUUGGGGAUGGACUCGCGGCUUAUCAGCUUGUUGGUGGGGUAGUGGCUUACCAAGGCUUUGACGGGUAGCCGGCCUGAGAGGGUGACCGGCCACAUUAGGACGGAGAUACGGCACAGACUCCUACGGGAGGCAGCAGUGGGGAAGAUUGCACAAUGGGCGGAAGCCUGAUGCAGCAACGCCGCGUGCGGGAUGACGGCCUUCGGGUUGUAAACCGCAUUCGCCUGUGACGAAGCGUGAGUGACGGUAAUGGGUAAAGAAGCACCGGCUAACUACGUG
rnacentral:rRNA from 1 species